CCUGACGCAGCAACGCCGCGUGAAGGAUGAAGGUCUUCGGAUUGUAAACUUCUUUUAUUAAGGACGAAGAAAGUGACGGUACUUAAUGAAUAAGCUCCGGCUAACUACGUGCCAGCAGCCGCGGUAAUACGUAGGGAGCAAGCGUUGUCCGGAUUUACUGGGUGUAAAGGGUGCGUAGGCGGCUUUGCAAGUCAGAUGUGAAAUCUAUGGGCUCAACCCAUAGCCUGCAUUUGAAACUGCAGAGCUUGAGUGAAGUAGAGGCAGGCGGAAUUCCCCGUGUAGCGGUGAAAUGCGUAGAGAUGGGGAGGAACACCAGUGGCGAAGGCGGCCUGCUGGGCUUUAACUGACGCUGAGGCACGAAAGCGUGGGUAGCAAACAGGAUUAGAUACCCUGGUAGUCCACGCUGUAAACGAUGAUUACUAGGUGUGGGGGGUCUGACCCCUUCCGUGCCGGAGUUAACACAAUAAGUAAUCCACCUGGGGAGUACGGCCGCAAGGUUGAAACUCAAAGGAAUUGACGGGGGCCCGCACAAGCAGUGGAGUAUGUGGUUUAAUUCGAAGCAACGCGAAGAACCUUACCAGGUCUUGACAUCGAGUGACGUACCUAGAGAUAGGUAUUUUCUUCGGAACACAAAGACAGGUGGUGCAUGGUUGUCGUCAGCUCGUGUCGUGAGAUGUUGGGUUAAGUC
rnacentral:rRNA from 1 species